rnacentral:rRNA from 1 species
UAGCUAGUUGGUGAGGUAAAGGCUUACCAAGGCGACGAUCUGUAGCGGGUCUGAGAGGAUGAUCCGCCACACUGGAACUGAGACACGGUCCAGACUCCUACGGGAGGCAGCAGUGGGGAAUUUUGGACAAUGGGGGCAACCCUGAUCCAGCCAUGCCGCGUGAGUGAAGAAGGCCUUCGGGUUGUAAAGCUCUUUCGGCCGGGAAGAAAUCGCAUGGGCCAAUACCCUGUGUGGAUGACGGUACCGGAAUAAGAAGCACCGGCUAACUACGUGCCAGCAGCCGCGGUAAUACGUAGGGUGCGAGCGAUAAUCGGAAUUACUGGGCGUAAAGCGUGCGCAGGCGGUUUUGUAAGACAGGCGUGAAAUCCCCGGGCUUAACCUGGGAACUGCGUUUGUGACUGCAAGGCUAGAGUACGGCAGAGGGGGGUGGAAUUCCACGUGUAGCAGUGAAAUGCGUAGAGAUGUGGAGGAACACCAAUGGCGAAGGCAGCCCCCUGGGUCGAUACUGACGCUCAUGCACGAAAGCGUGGGUAGCAAACAGGAUUAGAUACCCUGGUAGUCCACGCCCUAAACUAUGUCAACUAGGUGUUGGGUGGGUAAAACCAUUUAGUACCGUAGCUAACGCGUGAAGUUGACCGCCUGGGGAGUACGGCCGCAAGGUUAAAACUCAAAGGAAUUGACGGGGACCCGCACAAGCGGUGGAUGAUGUGGAUUAAUUCGAUGCAACGCGAAAAACCUUACCUACCCUUGACAUGCCAGGAACUUGCCAGAGAUGGCUUGGUGCCCGAAAGGGAGCCUGGACACAGGUGCUGCAUGGCUGUCGUCAGCUCGUGUCGUGAGAUGUUGGGUUAAGUCCCGCAACGAGCGCAACCCUUGUCGUUAAUUGCCAUCAUUCAGUUGGGCACUUUAACGAGACUGCCGGUGACAAACCGGAGGAAGGUGGGGAUGACGUCAAGUCCUCAUGGCCCUUAUGGGUAGGGCUUCACACGUCAUACAAUGGUCGGUACAAAGGGUUGCCAAGCCGCGAGGCGGAGCCAAUCCCAGAAAGCCGAUCGUAGUCCGGAUUGCAGGCUGCAACUCGCCUGCAUGAAGUCGGAAUCGCUAGUAAUCGUGGAUCAGCAUGUCACGGUGAAUACGUUCCCGGGUCUUGUACACACCGCCCGUCACACCAUGGGAGCGGGUUCCGCCAGAAGUAGGUAGCCUAACCGCAAGGGGGGCGCUUACCACGGCGGGGUUCGUGACUGGGGUGAGGUCGUAACAAGGUAGCCGUAGGAACCUGCGGCUG